UGGGAUUUCGCAUAGCCUCUUGCCUCGUGCCUUCUGUCGAUUCGUGGCUUCGUCCCCAAUCGGUGAGGAGGGCGACGAUUGGGUGAGAACCCUAGCAUCCACUCCCCAUCGUUGUUCCUCUCUUGCAGCCUGCCUCACUACUGCUGCUCUCGCCGCCGAGCUCGCCCGCUGCCGCUGCCGCCGCAUCAUCUUCUCCUCCUGGGAACCCUAGAGCGUCUACUCUCCUGGCUGUUCGUAUCUUGGCUCGCCACAAAAAAUGGGCACGGGUGGGUAGGACGAGGCCAUGGCUAGGGUUUCAGGCUGGGCAUCGCCUUCGUCGCCGGCGCGGCUCCGGUGGACUCCGGUGGCUCCUCUCCGUCUCCUUUUCCGUCACCACGCGCGGCUCCGCUUCCCGCCGGCCAUGGGGUGCAGCCUUACAGGGGCGCAUCGGGCUGGGCAUCCUCUAUUUCUGAGUGCAUGGGGCGGUUUGAGGCGCACUUGUGGAACAAGAACACCUGGACAGAACCGCAGAGGAAGAAGAUGGCUUGGUUGAUGCAAUCCGUGUAUCCCUCACAGAUCCACUUGGAACUCAUGCUGCAGACCAUCAA